GCGGAGGUCGCCUAGUGGCUAUGGCGGUAAAUUUCAAAUUGGCGUGUUUUACGCCGCGCGGGUUCGAAUCCCGCCCUCCGCG
rnacentral:tRNA from 1 species